rnacentral:rRNA from 1 species
CGGGUGAGUAAUGUCUGGGAAACUGCCUGAUGGAGGGGGAUAACUACUGGAAACGGUAGCUAAUACCGCAUAACGUCGCAAGACCACAGAGGGGGACCUUCGGGCCUCUUGCCAUCGGAUGUGCCCAGAUGGGAUUAGCUAGUAGGUGGGGUAACGGCUCACCUAGGCGACGAUCCCUAGCUGGUCUGAGAGGAUGACCAGCCACACUGGAACUGAGACACGGUCCAG